rnacentral:rRNA from 1 species
GUGUCAGCAGCCGCGGUAAUACGGAGGGUGCGAGCGUUAAUCGGAAUUACUGGGCGUAAAGCGCGCGUAGGCGGUCUGUUAAGUCAGCUGUGAAAGCCCCGGGCUCAACCUGGGAACUGCAGUUGAUACUGUCAGGCUGGAGUACGAGAGAGGGAGGUAGAAUUCCAUGUGUAGCGGUGAAAUGCGUAGAUAUAUGGAGGAAUACCAGUGGCGAAGGCGGCCUCCUGGCUCGAUACUGACGCUGAGGUGCGAAAGCGUGGGUAGCAAACAGGAUUAGAAACCCUUGUAGUCC